AUUGAACGCUGGCGGCAGGCUUAACACAUGCAAGUCGAGCGGGGAAAGGUAGCUUGCUACAUUUCCUAGCGGCGGACGGGUGAGUAAUGCUUAGGAAUCUGCCUAUUAGUGGGGGACAACAUUCCGAAAGGAAUGCUAAUACCGCAUACGCCCUACGGGGGAAAGCAGGGGAUCUUCGGACCUUGCGCUAAUAGAUGAGCCUAAGUCAGAUUAGCUAGUUGGUGGGGUAAAGGCCUACCAAGGCGACGAUCUGUAGCGGGUCUGAGAGGAUGAUCCGCCACACUGGGACUGAGACACGGCCCAGACUCCUACGGGAGGCAGCAGUGGGGAAUAUUGGACAAUGGGCGAAAGCCUGAUCCAGCCAUGCCGCGUGUGUGAAGAAGGCCUUUUGGUUGUAAAGCACUUUAAGCGAGGAGGAGGCUACUUGGAUUAAUACUCUAGGAUAGUGGACGUUACUCGCAGAAUAAGCACCGGCUAACCCUGUGCCAGCCGCCGCGGUAA
rnacentral:rRNA from 1 species